AUUGAACGCUGGCGGCAUGCCUUACACAUGCAAGUCGAACGGCAGCACGGGAGCAAUCCUGGUGGCGAGUGGCGAACGGGUGAGUAAAGUAUUGGAACGUGCCCAGUCGUGGGGGAUAACGUAGCGAAAGUUACGCUAAUACCGCAUACGAUCUAUGGAUGAAAGCGGGGGAUCGCAAGACCUCGCGCGAUUGGAGCGGCCGAUAUCAGAUUAGGUAGUUGGUGGGGUAAAGGCUCACCAAGCCGACGAUCUGUAGCUGGUCUGAGAGGACGACCGGCCAAACUGGGACUGAGACACGGCCCAGACUCCUACGGGAGGCAGCAGUGGGGAAUUUUGGACAAUGGGCGAAAGCCUGAUCCAGCCAUGCCGCGUGCAGGAUGAAGGCCUUCGGGUUGUAAACUGCUUUUGUACGGAACGAAAAGGUUUGGGCUAAUAAGCUGAGCUCAUGACGGUACCGUAAGAAUAAGCACCGGCUAACUACGUGCCAGCAGCCGCCGUAA
rnacentral:rRNA from 1 species